UACGUAGGGUGCAAGCGUUGUCCGGAAUUAUUGGGCGUAAAGAGCUCGUAGGCGGUUUGUCGCGUCUGCUGUGAAAACCCGAGGCUCAACCUCGGGCCUGCAGUGGGUACGGGCAGACUAGAGUGCGGUAGGGGAGAUUGGAAUUCCUGGUGUAGCGGUGAAAUGCGCAGAUAUCAGGAGGAACACCGGUGGCGAAGGCGGGUCUCUGGGCCGAUACUGACGCUGAGGAGCGAAAGCGUGGGGAGCGAACGGG
rnacentral:rRNA from 1 species